AUCGCUUCUCGGCCUUUUGGCUAAGAUCAAGUGUAGUAUCUGUUCUUAUCAGUUUAAUAUCUGAUACGUCCUCUAUCCGAGGACAUAAAAUAAAAAAAAAAAGUCUUUUGUGUUUACAUAUGAAUUAUAUAAUUUUUCUCUAAUUCUGUGAAGAAUAUCAUUGAUAUUUCAAUGGGGAGGGCAUUG